rnacentral:rRNA from 1 species
AAUAAGCGUAGGAAAAGACACAACAGGGAUUACCCCAGUAACGGCGAGUGAAGCGGCAACAGCUCAAAUUUGAAAUCCGGCCCCCGCGGCCCGAGUUGUAAUUUGCAGAGGACGCUUUGGGCGAGGUGCCUUCCGAGUUCCCUGGAACGGGACGCCGCAGAGGGUGAGAGCCCCGUACGGUCGGCGGCCGAGCCCGCGUAAAGCUCCUUCGACGAGUCGAGUAGUUUGGGAAUGCUGCUCCAAAUGGGAGGUAAACCCCUUCUAAAGCUAAAUACCGGCCAGAGACCGAUAGCGCACAAGUAGAGUGAUCGAAAGAUGAAAAGCACUUUGAAAAGAGAGUUAAAAAGCACGUGAAAUUGUUGAAAGGGAAGCGCUUGUGGCCAGACUUGCGCCCGGCAGCUCAGCCGUCCUUCUGGGCGGUGCACUCUGCCGGGCCCAGGCCAGCAUCAGUUUCCGGUCGGGGAGAAAGGCGGCGGGAACGUGGCUCCUCGGAGUGUUAUAGCCCGCCGCCAUGCCCUUCCGGGGACUGAGGUUCGCGCCCCGCAAGGAUGCUGGCGUAAUGGCCACCAGCGACCCGUCUUGAAACACGGACCAAGGAGUCGUCCUAGUAUGCGAGUGUUCGGGUGCCAAACCCCUACGCGCAAUGAAAGUGAACGGAGGUGAGAGCUUCGGCGCAUCAUCGACCGAUCCUGAUGUUCUCGGAUGGAUUUGAGUAUGAGCAUACUGGGCCGGACCCGAAAGAAGGUGAACUAUGCUUGUAUAGGGUAAAGCCAGAGGAAACUCUGGUGGAGGCUCGCAGCGGUUCUGACGUGCAAAUCGAUCGUCAAAUAUGAGCAUGGGGGCGAAAGUAAGUCGGCCUGCUGCCACUGUCGUUUUUCCUUUUUUUUCAUAAGACCUCGCGUCGCGCGGAGCGGGUUUUGCUAACCGUGUUUUUCCUUCCAGGACUAAUCGAACCUUCUAGUAGCUGGUUUCCGCCGAAGUUUCCCUCAGGAUAGCAGUGUUGAGCUCAGUUUUAUGAGGUAAAGCGAAUGAUUAGGGACUCGGGGGCGCUUAUUAGCCUUCAUCCAUUCUCAAACUUUAAAUAUGUAAGAAGCCCUUGUUGCUUCGGUGAACGCGGGCAUUCGAAUGUAUCAACACUAGUGGGCCAUUUUUGGUAAGCAGAACUGGCGAUGCGGGAUGAACCGAUCGCGAGGAUAAGGUGCCGGAGUGGACGCUCAUCAGACACCACAAAAGGUGUUAUCACAUCUUGACAGCAGGACGGUGGCCAUGGAAGUCGGAAACCGCUAAGGACUGUUGUACAACUCACCUGCCGAAUGUUAUAGCCCUGAA